UACAGAGGGUGCGAGCGUUAUUCGGAAUUACUGGGCGUAAAGCGCACGUAGGCGGCUUGGUAUGUCGGGUGUGAAAUCCCCGGGCUCAACCUGGGAACUGCAUCCGAAACUGCCUUGCUAGAGUAUGGGAGAGGGAAGUGGAAUUUCCGGUGUAGCGGUGAAAUGCGUAGAUAUCUGGAGGAACACCGGUGGCGAAGGCGGCGUUCUGGACUGUAUCUGACACUGAAAAACGAAAGCCAGGGUAGCAAACGGG
rnacentral:rRNA from 1 species